GGUGUCAGCUAUCUGUGGGGCGUGUCCGGCGCCGUCCCCGACCUGGAGGGCGUGGACAGAGGCCUGGGAAGGGCGAGCAGCUUAGCUCCGCUGCCGCAGACUGCAGGUAGCCUCUGGAGCUCCGCGACGCCUUCGGGUAGGGCGACUUGGAUGUCUAGUCCUCACUUAGGGAAAUGUCUCUGACGGCAAAGCGCGGUAAUCUGGUUUGAGCUGCUUCGAGGGAAAAAGUUAUAAACUGUCACUCCUCCUCUCCCGCGCCCCGCUAGUCUUUCCCUGCAGCGCGAUGGAGCUAGAGAGAGACCAAGACGGCUCCCUAGAAGAGGAAGGAGGCGAACUCGGCCUUGGCGACAGAGCUGGGUAGGCCUCCGUGGCAUCUUGAGGACACGCAGCCUAAAGCCAAGAUGAAGACCAAAUGGAUAGAGAUGUCAACUGUUUAUGCUGGGCCAUUUAUCAAAAAUUGUAACAUUGGAGCUGUGAAGAAGAUGUUUAACAGCUUGGGCCCAGUCCAAUCAAUAACUCUUGUUCUUGAAACUUACAUGGCUCGCUGACUCACCAGUGUUUGCUGCUCAGCUCCUGCUGGAGGCCCAGCACCAGGAGCAAUAAGAGGAUUUCCUGCCCUCCAUCUGACCCACCUACCCAGGCCACUCACCCCGCCCUCAUUGGACAGAUGCUUCUGUACAGCAGCUCCCUCCAAAGCCUGGCACCAAGGCCUAAAGGGGUACACAGGUACCAAGCCAACCACUGAAAAUGGUCACCAUGCCACAGCCACAAGGAGAAGUAAAACAUCUACUGAAGAAGGUGUAGAUGUGAAGAUUAAACAAACUCUCUUUACCAGGUGAGUUUCAAAUCUAAUGCAUAUAGAACUCAAGAAUAAAAUUCUUAGGUGGAAAGCAAUACUGAGAAAUUACAAACUGGGUUUUGAAGACAUCAUUUACAUCUAGAAUCCAUUAGCUUCAAGAAUGGAGAUCAAAGACUAACCUUCAUGAAUACGUCUAUCAAUAAAUUCCCUUUUACAUCCUCUAGAUGUCAGAACUGAAAGAGUUCUUAAAAAGACAAUUGAUGCUUCUCAGAUCUCCUAUUUAAGCAGCACAGAAAAGAAGAUCCAAUGCUUAGACUUCCUGAUUUGUGUUCCUAGACCAGCUUACAGGGCCACAAUUUCAACCCAAUACGUCAUGGGUACUCUCAGCUGAACAACAGGAGCAAUGAUCCCUGGCCCAUGAAAGCUGACAAAUUCCAUUACAACUAGGUGAGCCAUUAGGGUACUAUUUAUAUAAGAUGGUAUGACUAACAAGCUAAAAGAACUAUCUUAGCUCUGCUCUAAAUACACAGUUACUCCUGCCUUCUAUUGAAGAAACAUUUCUACCACCUUCAUGUUCCCAAGGAAGAAGCCCUCCUAACAUUCAAGCAUUAUGUGAUGGGAUGUAAAGCAAACUCUCCUGGAAGUCUUUAUACACAUAGCUAAUCUUCUUCCAGAUCAAUCUAAACCACAUCCUAUGAAACUGAAAAACCAGACAGGACCAGAUUCUUGGUUUCAAUUUCUAUCACCCAAACAAUUUCCCUUUAAGUUCCAAGAGUCAAUUUAGGAAGAAUUCAGGAAAUCUACGUAUAUAUGUGUACACACACACACAAUGGGUUAUUUAUAACCACCUGUGUAUGUAUACAUACACAAACAUACAUAUAUAUAUAUACAUACAUGUAUACGCACACACACACACACACACACUGUUUUGCUUUAUUAACAGCUAUUUUCACAAAUGCUUAUAUGGCACAUGGAUACAUUAAUAUGCUUAGAGAUAAAUGGAUACUUAAAUCAAGAGAGUCCAACAUAUGAUAGAAAGCAACAAGCAACAUGGUACUUCAGGCUUUGCAAAGUAAGAUAUCUCUUGCUGGACAUGGUAGAACAUGCUUUUAAUCCCAGCACUCAGGAGACAGAGGUGAAUCUCUGUGAGUUUGGGGCUAGCCAAGACUACAUAGUGAGUCCCUGUCUCAAACAACAACAAAAUCAAAAAGAGGGCUACUCAGAUUUCUUGCCCAAAUCAUCAUCACCUAAGGGUCAAUGCAAUGCUGUCUAUUUUAGUUGCCCUGACAGGCCCUAUUUUAAGAAAAUCCAACAUGAGAAAACUCCAAAGCAAAGCAGUAGAACCAACAGCUCUUUCUUCUGGUCAUCAGUAUGUUGGACAACCCGAGGGCAGCUAUGGGCCCAGAAUAAAUUGUAUAUAUGAGUACACACACAUUUUGUACAUCCCUAGUAACAGAGGGUUCAAUGAGUUGCAUGCAACUUUCUAAACUGACAUCAGUUUUGCAUGUACUUCAAGAACCAUGUCCAAUCCCUUUACUUUGAAGCCCUACCUGUGCCUUCUUGAAAGAACAGGCCAUGCUUUGUAUGAAAAAUAAAUGACCUGGGCUGGAGAGAUGGCUCUGCUCUUCCAGAUGUCCUGAGUUCAAUUCCCAGUGAACACAUGGUGGCUCACAACCAUCUGUAAUGAGAUCUGGUGCACUCUUCUGGCUUGCAUAGAUACAUGCAGGCAGAAAGCUAUAUACAUAUAAAUAGAAAAAUAACUGAGCUUACACAUCUCCAUGGACACCUUGCACCUCAUGUUCUCACCUUAAGUUUGGAAAAAAAAUCAAUAUUUCAUUUCAUACCAGAUGUGUCUCAGUUCAAAUACUGAGAUGGAUUCAACCAAUCUAUGUGUCACUGUACUCUAAUCUAAACACUUUUGUUUGUCUUGUCUUGGUUUUCUUCAUUUUGAUAGUGUGGAUUUUCAUUUGUUUUGCCUUGUUUUUGUUUUGUUUUGCUUUGAGUAUUAUGAUGUAGCCUUGGC